CCUACGGGAGGCAGCAGUGAGGAAUAUUGGUCAAUGGGCGCGAGCCUGAACCAGCCAAGUAGCGUGAAGGAUGACUGCCCUACGGGUUGUAAACUUCUUUUAUAAAGGAAUAAAGUGCGGCACGUGUGCCUUUUUGUAUGUACUUUAUGAAUAAGGAUCGGCUAACUCCGUGCAAGCAGCCGCGGUAAUCCGGAGGAUCCGAGCGUUAUCCGGAUUUAUUGGGUUUAAAGGGAGCGGAGGCUGGGUGUGAAGUCAGCGGUGAAAUGCCCCGGAGCAACGGGGGGAAGUGCCAUUGAUACUGCCGGGCUGGAAUGCGAAGGCCGUGGGAGGAAUGUGUGGUGUAGCGGUGAAAUGCAUAGAUAUCACACAGAACACCGAUUGCGAAGGCAGCUCACGAAUCCGCGAUUGACGCUGAUGCACGAAAGCGUGGGUAUCAAACAGGAUUAGAUACCCCAGUAGUC
rnacentral:rRNA from 1 species